rnacentral:tRNA from 1 species
GCCUGGCUGGUUCAGUCGGAAAAGCAUUUGACUCUUGAUCUCAAGGCUGUGAGUUCGAGCCCCACGUUAGGCG